rnacentral:rRNA from 1 species
AAAGUGGAGCAAUCCAUGAGUACAGUGGCGUACGGGUGAGUAACACGUGGGUGAUCUACCUCUUAGUGAGGAAUAACCCUGGGAAGCCGGGGCUAAUACCGCAUAAGCCUUAGCAGGGAAAGUCGCAAGACGCUGAGAGAGGAGCCCGCGGCCGAUUAGCUAGUUGGUGAGGUAAGAGCCCACCAAGGCAGAGAUCGGUAGCCGGCCUGAGAGGGCACACGGCCACACUGGCACUGAAACACGGGCCAGACUCCUACGGGAGGCAGCAGUGGGGAAUCUUGCACAAUGGGGGAAACCCUGAUGCAGCGACGCCGCGUGAGCGAUGAAGCCCUUCGGGGUGUAAAGCUCUUUCGGCAGGGAAGAUAGUGACGGUACCUGCAGAAGCAGCUGCGGCUAACUACGUGCCAGCAGCCGCGGUAAUACGUAGGCAGCAAGCGUUGUUCGGAGUUACUGGGCGUAAAGGGUGUGUAGGCGGUUCUUUAAGUUUGGUGUGAAAUCUCCCGGCUCAACCGGGAGGGUGCGCCGAAUACUGAGGGACUAGAGUGUGGGAGAGGAAAGUGGAAUUCCUGGUGUAGCGGUGAAAUGCGUAGAUAUCAGGAGGAACACCGGUGGUGUAGACGGCUUUCUGGACCAUAACUGACGCUGAGACACGAAAGCGUGGGUAGCAAACAGGAUUAGAUACCCUGGUAGUCCACGCCCUAAACGAUGCAUAUUUGGUGUGGGUCAUUCAGUUGAUCCGUGCCGGAGCUAACGCGUUAAAUAUGCCGCCUGGGGAGUACAGUCGCAAGGCUGAAACUCAAAGGAAUUGACGGGGGCCCGCACAAGCGGUGGAGCAUGUGGUUC